AAUUACAAGCGAAAGCAUAAAAUUCAAAGGACUUGACGGUACUUCACAUCAACCUAGAGGAGCCUGUCCUAUAAUCGAUAACCCACGUUUUACCUCACCCACUCUUGAAAAACCAGCCUGUAUACCGCCGUCGCCAGCCCAUCUAAUGAUAGAACAAAAAUGGACAAAACUGUAUAACUACAAAAACGUCAGGUCAAGGUGCAGCUAAUGAGUGGGCUGAGAUGGGCUACAUUUUUUAACUUAAAAAAUCACUACACGCAACAUGAAACACUGAGCGACCAAGGUGGAUUUAGCAGUAAAUAUGUGCAAGAGAUGCCACAUUGAAGCCCGUUCUGAAGUGCGUACACACCGCC
rnacentral:rRNA from 1 species